GAUGAACGCUAGCGGCAGGCCUAAUACAUGCAAGACGAACGGUAAGUUGAGUAGCAAUACUUAGCCAAGAGUGUCGUACGGGUGCGUAACACGUAUGCAACCUACCCUAUACAGGAGGAUAGCCUAGGGAAACCUGGAUUAACCCUUCAUAGUAUUAUUGGAUGGCAUCAUUUGAUAAUUAAAACUGAGGUGGUAUAGGAUGGGCAUGCGUCUGAUUAGUUAGUUGGCGGGGUAAUGGCCCACCAAGACGAUGAUCAGUAGGGGUUCUGAGAGGAAGAUCCCCCACACUGGCACUGAGAUACGGGCCAGACUCCUACGGGAGCAGCAGUAGGGAAUAUUGGUCAAUGGAUGCAAGUCUGAACCAGCCAUGCCGCGUGCAGGAAGAAGGCCUUCGUGGGUUGUAAACUGCUUUUGCC
rnacentral:rRNA from 1 species